GGAAAACAAAACGGUAACACCGACGGGUUAUCUAGACAGACUGAACUUGAGAAGUGAUCUGUGGGCACUCCUCCGGACAUCCCCAAGCCGAUCCGUUGGGAUCAGACUGUGUAUGCCGGCUUGGUUCUGGGGGAGCAUUGUGGCAAACCUAGCCACUUAUAAUAUUCUGGACUAUGCACAGAAAAGGUUGCCUAUAAUAAUUCUUGUACUGUCUGGUGUAACUUGGCUGUAACGUGUAUUACUGUAUGUAUAUAUUGCAUUCAUAUGCUAGCAGGCGAAAGCCGCUAGCAUUCAUGUGUUUCGUUUCACGAACAGCCACUUUACAGGCUGUUCGUGAAUCGAAUGAGCUACCCCCUAAUAGCCCACACAGAGAGGGACGUGUGGCGCACGUUAACCGAUUGCAACAAUGUUGCAAUCGGUAAUUAGAGGCUUUCCUAGGUGGCCGUCGUUCGGCUACCGACCACGCGGCGGUUGGCCAUCUUGGAUCCUUUGUCUCCCAAGCGGUGUUUGGUCGUCGAGCGCGUGGAACUGAAAACAGCUAC